rnacentral:lncRNA from 1 species
AUAAAAAAAUCUUGAAAGAAAAAAUUUUCUAAAAAGUAAAAUUGUACAGAAAUCCUAAAGUAUUCCAAGAAAAAAACUUCACUAAGUUAUCCAAACAUUUUAACAUCACGUAGAUAUUUAAAUCGAAUAUCUGAAGUUCACAAAUACCAGUUUUUUAAUUCAUUUAUAUAUUCCACUGUUAUCUUUGGACACGCUAUUAAACACGAGAAUGCGUAGCCCGCUCGAAAUUGCGAUUUCGUGUUCAAAUCGAGUGCCUUGAACCGAAUAAGUUCAACGCUCAUUAACUUUCAUUCCGCGAUUUUUGAGAACGUAUAGGUAGAUAACUCUGAAACGCCGCUGGCCGUAAACAGCGGAUUCUCUUGAGCCGGGUACGCUGCGGUGGAAAAUGGUAGAAGGUGGGGUCAUGUGAAGUCGCGGGUGCAAUUAACGGGGGCACACGGCGAACUUCCGGUGCCGCUUCACGCUACAGCGACCCGUUGGGAACCGAAUGUCAAGAUUGCCGCAUUGUUCUUCCCCGAUAGCCGGGCGUUACUGCUACACCGUCGUGCACAAACAUCAUCACGGUUCCCCUUCCCCUCACUUUUCCCUUCCGUAACUAACAGGGCUGUGCUGUGCUCGAAUUAAUUCCUUUGAAUUCCGCAUUUUUACCGCAAGCCAGUAGUCUUCCUCCCGUAAUGGCAGAUUCGCGCGAAGCUCCGCACGCGCGUGUAUGAUAAAUUUUUGUAAGCUUAAAUUUCGAAUUUCUUUAACAAAUUUGAUUUUCUUCGUAGAUAUAAUUGCCCACGGUUUGGCACGUUCUGCGGAAAACGUCAACGUCGUAGGAAACAAUCAACGAAUGCAAGCUUGAAAACGUGAUUCGGAGCUUCAUGAAUCAUCGGGAAGCGACGGAUACGUGUCGCUCCCGAUGUGUGAAUUCGGAGGAACGGCGUGAUCGUUACGUCGUCGGACGUCGACAGAAGCGGAGCUUUUCCCGCUCUUGUUAGACAAUGAUUAAAGAGCGCGCGAAAUGGAACGGUUUACCCCGAGACCGGAAUCCUCCACGGCCCAGUCGACGUAGAGUCCGAUCGCGUCGUCCCUGGGCCCGGCCCCGAAACGGGGACUUUUCGGAUCCGCGCUGACUUCCACCGCGUGGAUCGUGACUUGCGUCGAGCCGGAAAUGCAGCUGCAAGUAGGACGAUAAACUUAGGGGAAUUCGUCGAAAAGCACAACGGUCAAACAACAUUUUUUUCUUUCUACAAGUGAGAUCCACAUCAAGUGGACAAAUAUACAAUUUUAACGUAGAGUUUACAAAUUUAAAAUAAAUUCCAACAGAAGAAAAAAUAGCAAGAAGCAAAAGGAUUAUGAGCCAAGCUGAUGCAUAUAUUAAAAACUUAUUAUACAAAAAAGUAAUCUGUAUUAUAAUUGCAAACGUUUUGAUUCCUAUCGGAUUAUUUUCAGUGCUUAACAUAUACAACUUGUACUAAACGCAUAUGUAUUGUCGCUCACAAAUGUCUACAAUUAGUAUUAGUAUGUUGAUUGUGAUGACAUUGUUGUAAAACUCUUGUCGCAGAAAAUGCCCGGUAAAAAAAGAAAAAGUUUUUCAGUCCAUUUUUGCAGGAGAGACAAAUUCCUGAGUAAUGAAAUUUGAAGAAAGUACUUGUCUAAAUUGUAAACGGUACCAAUGACUAUAUUAGGUGAAGUGAACAAUAUAGAGUUUAAUUAUAAAAAUAUUAAACGAUAACACACAUCAUAGUAAAAAAA